rnacentral:rRNA from 1 species
UACGUAGGGGGCAAGCGUUGUCCGGAAUCAUUGGGCGUAAAGCGCGUGUAGGCGGCUCGAUAAGUCCGCUGUGAAAGUCCCGGGCUCAACCCUGGAAGGCCGGUGGAAACUGUCGGGCUAGAGUCCGGAAGAGGCGAGUGGAAUUCCCGGUGUAGCGGUGAAAUGCGCAGAUAUCGGGAGGAACACCGAUGGCGAAGGCAGCCCGCUGGGACGGUACUGACGCUGAGACGCGAAAGCGUGGGGAGCAAACAGG